ACAGCGCAAAUUUGCAAGUUAUAUUAUAUUCUGUAAAUUGUAAAUAGAACUUCUGCUGUUUUGACAUGAAUGCAUUGAAUUGUUUUAUAAAAUCCUUAUGAACUAACCUAAAAUGUUUUCAAAUUUGCAUAGCUAGCUUAUUUUAUAAUUUUCAAGAGAUUGAUGUAUUUGUUAGUUUUGAAUGGAUAUAUAUGUGUAUACAUCUUCAGCAGUUUUUAUAUGCUUUCGGACCACAUAAACUACAGAUAUGGCAUACAAGGUUUGCGGACAGUUCAAUAUACUACAAAGUAGUAUGUAACUCUGACUUGUUUUAAUUUUUGUUUAUUUUUAUGAACUUUUUCGUUUUCCCUGCAAAAACUAUGGAAUCUGUAUGUAAACUGCCAAGACCAUCUAAACUGAAUAUAUCCAUCAGAACUGAAUUUGAAUUUGAGUAUUCAAAUUUGUGUGUGGUUAGUUGGGCUAGUAGUUUGACUUAUUGAUUGUUGGUCAGUUGCAAGUAGAGGCACAUGAAAUUGACCUGGAAUGGUUCCAAUGUGAUUCAUAUAUGGAACUGGAUUACUUGUUUAUUAUGUGUUUGUGACCUGGAAUCAACUCUCCAUUAUGGCUAUAUGGGUUUAGGAAGUUUCAUUUAUCAUGGGUGCUGCACAAUUUGACCAGAUCUGACUUUAAGAAAAACCAUUCUGUUCUAGUUCUAUGAAAUAUGGACUUGAUUGAAUUUAAUUUAAAAUUGACUGGAUUUGACAUGAAGUUGAUGAGUAAAUGGGUCCAUGAUGAAUUCAAGGCAAUUUAAUUCUAUACCUGGCCUAGUUGCAUGCACACCUAACCCUGGCAAUAUGUUUUCCAAACUUGGGCUUUGAGUAUCAAGAAAAGUAAAGGUUGGGUGUAAUCAUAUUUUUGAUUUUGUAGUUAGGUCUUAUUAGGAUUUACAGCAUGAACAAGUUAUUGGCAUUUGGGUAAUUUGAAUAGUAAUACCAUCUUUUUAAAUAAAAUACUUUCACAGCAAGUGGGAUACUUUUUAAACCAUUUUGUAAGUGACAACAAAUACAUUUUGUCCUCUCCAAUCUAGUGAAUGACUUAUUAUCUGAGUGUCCAUUAAUCUACUUCCAGGAGUCAUUUAUACUUUUUGACCAUGAUAUGUCAUCACUUGAGAAGCCACACCUUUGGAUGGGAGUUUGAACCUAUGACAAGGUCUAAAGUUUCCGCUGAAACAAAUGGUUGAGAGAAAGGAAAAGGUUGGCCCAGGGGGAACAAUUGAUGCCCAGGUGCAGGGGGUGUUGUUAGCAUAUGUUGGUACAUUUAAAAUGCCGUGCAUCUUACUCCUAUGUGUUAAUUUGCCACAUCAUAUAUUAAUCUGUGUUGUUGGCUCAGGGUGUAGGGCACUAAAGAAAUGCAUGCAAACAAGUUGACUUAUAGCAGAAAUGAGAAUGUUAAGACUGACAGAAUCCAAGGGAUCAUCAGAGUACUUGCUUGGGAAUUUUAGGAUCUUUGUUCAUGAUGUGUUCCCAUGAAGAUGCAUGCAUGUUGGUUUAAGAUAAUGAUACCUUCCCAUAUCAGCGAUAUUGGAGACUUUGGAGUUCGUUAUGCCUUUUUGGGGGAGAUUGAGGUUGUGAACUCUCAUGACCCUCUGAGCUUUGAAUCUCCGUCAACUGCGGGUCAAAGGGAUGCUCGGCUGGAAGAACUUGUCUUACAAGCCUCUCUCUCUCUCUCUCNNNNNNNNNNNNNNNNNNNNCUCUCUCUCUCUCUCUCUCUCUCUCUCUCUCUCUCUAUUGGAGAUGGAAAACCCUAGGCCUUCAAUGCCUCUCUUUGGUAUGGCAUGUGAUGAGAUUUCCACCAAACCCUAGGGAAUCUCCCUUUUUAUGGAGCAAUGGAGGUGCCAAGGCUUUCCCUGGAUGCCUCAACUGGGGUGCCCCUAGAGUCCUCAUAGGACUGCAAAUGAUAGGAUAAGAUAGGGGGUGGCUGACCUUGGGUGCCGCCCCUUUUAAAUGUUGCACUCCUAAGAGGAGUGUGCUAUAUAGAUGUCGCACAGAAGAGCAGAAGGUGAUGGUUUCCUUGCUUCCACUAGAGUUAGACCUGAUCUGUUCUUGCUUGACUUAACCUAGUAGAAACCAAUGUUAGACUAUUUCUCAAGUUUAAUCUUUUCUUCAAUUAGAUCCAGACCUUUCUUGUUCCUUGAAAGAAAUUUUAACUAGAAUCUCAUUUCAAUUGAUCUGGAGAUAGUGGUAUAAAUACUAAAUGUGUUACUAGAAUAGGUCAACUUAGACUCCCGCCCUCUAAUUCCUUUUUAAGCCUGCUUUUUAGUUGCAGUGUCACACAUGGGCAACAUGAUCCAGCAUGGGAAUAUUGUGCCGGUAUCAUAUUAUUGAACCCCAAGAUGAAACCAGUUGGUUUUCCUAUUUCUGCAUAAGCUAUAUCUUGCAUUUAAGUCCCCACUAUUCUGGUGUCUUGAUAUGAUUUUCAAAUAUUGCACUAUUAGAGCACAUGAUCGAACUGAUCAAAUUGUUCAGUACCAUAUUGUUUCGGCUGUGAAUUGGAUGGUUCAUGUCUCAAUACAAAGUGGUAGGAAUCAGUCCUUAUCAAGCUGAACUGCCAAGAACCAAGCUAUUCAUCCUGCUACGGGUCUGGUUGUGGGCCAAUUAACCCCUCUUCCUCAAUAAUUGAGAGAGAAAUGCCAUCAUAUCCUUUUGUUGCUUUGUUCGCCCACAAGCAAUGUAAGAGAGGAAGGAGAGGAGAGGAGAAAGAGAGAGAGAGAGUGGAGGAAAGGUGAAGUCCUGGAUAUACCAGGAUCCCUCUGGUACCAGGAUCAUCAUUCUUUACUAGAUUAUAUCCUCCCAUUCCAGGUUAUGAUCCACAGAUACAUGCCUUCUGAGUUUUCAUGUUUGAGUGGGUAUCAGCAUGCUAUCUAGUUCAAAAGACCUACUAGGAUCUUGGAUGAGUACAAUAUUGAGGCUGGAGUUAGGUCCAGGGCCUGACUAGAACGUGAUCUAGACAUGUUAUGGACACCGGCACAACUUGAAAUUGAACAUAUGCACAUAUGUUGGAUU
rnacentral:lncRNA from 1 species